ACCUGGGAACUGCAUUUGAAACUGGCAGGCUUGAGUCUUGUAGAGGGGGGUAGAAUUCCAGGUGUAGCGGUGAAAUGCGUAGAGAUCUGGAGGAAUACCGGUGGCGAAGGCGGCCCCCUGGACAAAGACUGACGCUCAGGUGCGAAAGCGUGGGGAGCAAACAGGAUUAGAUACCCUGGUAGUCCACGCCGUAAACGAUGUCGACUUGGAGGUUGUGCCCUUGAGGCGUGGCUUCCGGAGCUAACGCGUUAAGUCGACCGCCUGGGGAGUACGGCCGCAAGGUUAAAACUCAAAUGAAUUGACGGGGGCCCGCACAAGCGGUGGAGCAUGUGGUUUAAUUCGAUGCAACGCGAAGAACCUUACCUACUCUUGACAUCCAGAGAACUUGGCAGAGAUGCCUUGGUGCCUUC
rnacentral:rRNA from 1 species